GGAAGUGGAGGAGGAGGAGGAUCAGGAGGUGGAGGAGGAUCAGGAGGAAACGGAAGAGUCGUAAUGCCAGGUAAACCAAUCUGGAAAAAAUUCUUCCCGGGAUUUGGUCUUGGAAAAGGAUCAGCAUUCGGUAGUGGAGGAGGAUCUGGUAAUGGUAGUGGUCAAGGAUCAGCAUUAACAGAUGGAGAUAAGGAACCUAUGCCAGAAACAGGUGGGGCAGGUGAGGUGCAGCCGGGUAAAGUCUUUAUUGAAACAGAAGCUGAUGCUAGUUCUAGUGCAUCGGUAUCGAAUGCUGAAGCAGAGCCUGUAGAGGAAAUGUGAACCAGUCUACAGAUAACUUAAUGUACUCUGUGGUGGUCCUGACACUAUUAUGGUUGAGAGGUGUAUGCCAAUUAAUACCUGCAACGACGCUACACUUCACAACACACCCUCAGCUGACCACGGCCAACGGUCACCUCAACUCUCCUCCAUCACAAAAAGAUUAUAUAUUUUAUUAAUUAUUUAAUUGCUAUCGUCUUAUUUCUGUAUUUACUUAAAAUGUGUGAAAAUAGUAUAAAAAAUAUUUCUUUGUAAAUUAUCCUACAAUUCAAUAAAUUGUAUUCUUCA